rnacentral:lncRNA from 1 species
UAAAUUCACUCUCAAUCCAGGUUUCAUAGCCUAGAGAGACUCAAUCAUUAAAGUUGUCAGAGAUCGAGUUCAAUCCAGGAAUAAACUAGAAAGAAACUGUCAAACAAGACACUACCCAACGAGGACCGAAACCCAAUAGGGGAUUUGUCUAAUCCAUGGACGGAAAGGAAAGCAAAAGAAAAAUCUUCCACAAGGGAUACUUAGUGGGGA